ensembl:lncRNA
GUGGUACCUCGCAACUGUUUACUUUGAUUGCGUGACGCACUACACACCAUGAUUGAGUCAUAAUAGCGUGACGCACACAUGCAGGUUAUAUGGUUCACAACAACCUGUAACGGUCAGAUACACUUUAUCAAUCAGGCAGAGCAGUAACGUUGUAAUGUGGCUUCAACCCCACGUUUGGUCUUGGAGCGCGCAACCACCAGAACAGAAAUGGAUCGAAGCUACAUUCGUGGUUUCGCGGUAGAGCAUUAAAUAACGUUAGGGUGGUCAUCAUGGCGAUGGGUGACUGAAGAAGGAAGAUGUUAACAUGUUUGCCACUGCAGUAAGUUACAUGGGCCUCUGUGUGCCCAGGCUCCUACAAGUAUCCGAGGAGGAGUUCGGUUCUGACGGGGUCAUCGGGCUUCACCUUUUCCUGAUUCUCCUCUCCAUUCUCCUGCUCCUGUUCUGGGCCAUCCAUUUGUGUAAGGACGAUGAUGAUGUCUUUGGCGACAUUGACCAAGCGCUGGUCAAUAACUUCACAGAGGGAGUUCAUCUCUACUACAGCUACCUCCAACGACUGGAGGAACUAACGUUACAUAUGGAGGACCUCACCUUUGAGGUGGACCUGGAAUCCUGCUCUGAACCCCAAUCGUGCUUUGACUCAUGCUCAUCCAGAUCAUCUUCUAGAUCACAUUCUAGAUCACAUUCUAGAUCUUCUAGAUCCUCCAGAUUUAGUGACUGCAGCAUUUGCCGAACCUGCAAUAAACGGCGGAAACGGCAUCCACCUGACAGGUUUAAAUUCCUGAAAGGCGGUGGUCCAGAUAGUCGCUGUUCUUCAAGUAGUCCCAGCCCACUGGCUAAGCCCUGCCUCAAGCUACCAGGAGGUGGUGAUGUUAAGGACAGACACAAUGGCUCCACACGCGCCUCCUGUAGCUCCUCCUGCAGCUCCUCUAGGUACGUGACUCCUUCUGGCUCCCCUCAACCUCUGGAAUACCAGCCCUGCCCUCAUCAGCAUACUGCUAUUGGUUGGAGGCUAAACUGGACUCUGAUGGAGGCCAAAUUGGACUCUCCUGUCGCUGUGCCUGUUGCUGCUGCUUCUACUGUCACUGGCUGUAAAGACAGAGCUGCCGGCCGCACAGACCUCUCCAGGACUCAGACUGUGAGACAUAUUCAAAUGGUGAGACAGCUGUUUGAGGUCGUGCCGAGGAAUGGAGACCCGGCCGUCCUGUGCCGCUGGCACCCCAGACAUUUGGAACUCAACGUGACACAGAAGGUGGCCCGCAAGCGCUGGAGGAUUGCCGUGCUGAUGAUCUCCAUCGUUAGGUGGCUGAUCCCAGAGAGACUGAAGAGGGGAGGCACCACCAGCUCAACCUCCACCUCUGCGUCCACCCCGACCACCACCACUACCACCUCUCAGGCUAAGAAAGGAUCAAAGAUCACCAGGAAAACUGCCAGUGUUCCAGCUUUCUGCCCUCAGGGUGCCAACCCUCCAUCUCCCUCCAAGGCUCCAUGCCAGUCUCCAGGGUUAGAGGGUAAACCCAAGUCCAUCAUGAUGUACGCUCAGGGCGCCAGGAUCCCCUUCAUUUGCCAGGAGGUCCGAGAGAAGCUUGAGUCUCAUGUUUGCCGCAAGCAGAGCCAGCUCCUCUGGGGUUUCCCCAAGCUGGUCACCAGGUACGUGGGCAACCUUGCGCUCCAACAGCUCCCUACCUCCGGCAGCGCAGGUGACGGGAAGAUUAUGGGCAAUGUGACCGACCAUCAGGCGGUGUUCUCUGGACGAGCGCACUGCAACACAGAGUUCAGGUUGAAGAAUAAGACUACAAGGCCAGCGGAGGAGCCGCAGGCUACUGCAGCCAUAGCGAAGGACAGCUCACCAGCCACCAGACCUGUGGAGAAGACUACCACCAGCACCGUGCUCCAGCCAGCCGAGACUCAUGCUACCAAACCCUCCCAGACCAGACACUCUCUGAACCAGACAUCCCCUGUGAGGAGCUUGACCCCGGAGAGAUGCUGGCUGGAGGAGAAGGUGAGGAGUAAGUGUAUGGAGGUGAAGCUCAAACACUUUCCCGGCAUGGUGGCCCAGUCAUACCACUCCGCCCUUGCUUCGGCAACCAGCCAGCCAACUAGGAAACCCACCCAGGUGGCAGGAGCCCCCGCUGUUGUUCUGAAACGCACUGCCCCACUCAGACGGCGGGAUAAGGUGUUGUUCAUGGGCCAGGAGGAACUCAGGCACCUGGAGGACAACCUGAUCAUGAAACACAUGGAGCACCUUCAGAGGCAGGGAGUGACGACUGCCUCGGCCCCCUCGGACCACACCCAGGGAGUGACCACCGCAUCGGCCCCCUCGGCCCACUCCCAGGGAGUGACCACCGCAUCGGCCCCCUCGGCCCACUCCCAGGGAGUGACCACCGCAUCGGCCCACACCCAGGGAGUGACCAGCGCCUCAGCCCCUCGGCCCACACCCAGGGAGUGACCACCGCCUCGGCCCACACCCAGGGAGUGACCACCGCCUCGGCCCACACCCAGGGAGUGACCAGCGCCUCGGCCCCCUCGGCCCACACCCAGGAGUGACCACCGCCUCGGCCCACACCCAGGGAGUGACCAGCGCCUCGGCCCCCUCGGCCCACACCCAGGG